rnacentral:rRNA from 1 species
GACGAACGCUGGCGGCGUGCUUAACACAUGCAAGUCGAACGGUAAGGCCCUUCGGGGUACACGAGUGGCGAACGGGUGAGUAACACGUGGGUGAUCUGCCCUGCACUUCGGGAUAAGCCUGGGAAACUGGGUCUAAUACCGGAUAGGACCACUGCCUGCCAGGGUGGGGGUGGAAAGCUUUUGCGGUGUGGGAUGGGCCCGCGGCCUAUCAGCUUGGUGGUGGGGUGAUGGCCUACCAAGGCGACGACGGGUAGCCGGCCUGAGAGGGUGACCGGCCACACUGGGACUGAGAUACGGCCCAGACUCCUACGGGAGGCAGCAGUGGGGAAUAUUGCACAAUGGGCGCAAGCCUGAUGCAGCGACGCCGCGUGAGGGAUGACGGCCUUCGGGUUGUAAACCUCUUUCAGCACCGACGAAGCGCAAGUGACGGUAGGUGCAGAAGAAGGACCGGCCAACUACGUGCCAGCCGCCGCGGUAA